rnacentral:rRNA from 1 species
AAGCUCGUAGUUGGAUUUCUGUUAAUAAUUUAUAUAAAAUAUUUUGAUGAAUAUUUAUAUAAUAUUAACAUAAUUCAUAUUACUAUAUAUUUUAGUAUAUGAAAUUUUACUUUGAGAAAAUUAGAGUGCUUAAAGCAGGCAUAUGCCUUGAAUACUCCAGCAUGGAAUAAUAUUAAAGAUUUUUAUCUUUCUUAUUGGUUCUAAGAUAAGAAUAAUGAUUAAUAGGGACAGUUGGGGGCAUUUGUAUUUAACAGUCAGAGGUGAAAUUCUUAGAUUUGUUAAAGACAAACUAAUGCGAAAGCAUUUGCCAAGGAUGUUUUCAUUAAUCAAGAACGAAAGUUAGGGGAUCGAAGACGAUCAGAUACCGUCGUAGUCUUAACCAUAAACUAUGCCAACUAGAGAUUGGAGGUUGUUCCUUACUCCUUCAGCACCUUAA